rnacentral:rRNA from 1 species
CUACGGGUGGCACCAGUGGGGAAUAUUGCGCAAUGGGCGAAAGCCUGACGCAGCAACGCCGCGUGAAGGACGAAGGUUUUCGGAUCGUAAACUUCUUUGAUGAGGGAAGAAAAAAAUGACGGUACCUCAAAAACAAGCCACGGCUAACUACGUGCCAGCAGCCGCGGUAAUACGUAGGUGGCAAGCGUUGUUCGGAAUUACUGGGUGUAAAGGGCGUGUAGGCGGGAAUGUAAGUCAGAUGUGAAAUUCCGAGGCUCAACCUCGGAGCUGCAUCUGAAACUAUGUUUCUUGAGUGCUGGAGAGGAAAGCGGAAUUCCUAGUGUAGCGGUGAAAUGCGUAGAUAUUAGGAGGAACACCAGUGGCGAAGGCGGCUUUCUGGACGGUAACUGACGCUGAGGCGCGAAAGCGUGGGGAGCAAACAGGAUUAGAUACCCGAGUAGUC